rnacentral:lncRNA from 13 species
CUUAUUCUGUUCAUUUUCAUUUAGUUCUUGCAACUGACUUUGGGCUUCCUUGGAAGAACAGAAGUGACUUGUUAGACUCCUGGGCUCUGCAUGGUGUGGCUCAUUGAUCUCAUACCUUAGUAUUCGCUUCUGCGGGUUUGUGCAGCAGUCCACAGUUGUCGAGGAAGGAAGAAAAGUACAGCCUUAAGGUCAGUCCCGUUAA